CUCUGGAGGCUUUGCUUGGUUUGACAGGUGAUUGCCAACAUUGCCACUUAAAAAUUAAAUAAAAUUGAGGAAGUAGGAUUUCCUGCACUGGUCACAUUCGAUAGGGUCAGUGGUCGUUUUGAUGUCUUUUAGUGGAUUGUCUGAGGGACAUCUCUACGUCGAUCUAUGGACUUUCCCAUCCCUACGAUGAUGAUGGACGGCUGUCAUAGACACAGGAAGUCACUUUCUUUGACGGUUCUUGAAGGAUAACAUCAUGGAUUAAAUAAUCCAAUUUAAUCUUUCACAAUUAUGGGCAGUAUGCCCUAAUAUUUUGUUAAAAUGUAAAAUAAACAUUCAAAAGUAAUAAUUUAUCUUGGGAUUUUUCCCUUUUAACCUUACGAUGGGCGUCUUAUUGAUGUUCCCUAGUAUUUAUCUAAAUUUGCCUUAAAAAACGGUGAGUUAUUAUACCUUUUUUACGUGGUGUUGUGCCUCCUAGAUAAGGUUCUAAUUAGAUUUUGUUUGUUUUAGCUCUCCGCGUUUUUUUUUUUACAAUGGAUUAGUUUUUUUUUACAAUGGAUUAGUUUUUUUUUUACAAUGGAUUAGUUUUUUUUACUAUGGAUUAAUUUUUUACAUGGAACGAUUUCAUAUUGUAUCCAGUUUAACCUACAUUUGCUGCAAUUUUCUGCACCAUGACCUCUCAGCGGGGACCUGCUUUAUGGGACCAGCGGUGAAGUGUUCUGUGGUCUUCAUUAAUUAUAUUUAACUAACUUUAGUUAUUUCAUUACUCUGGUAUGUAUUUCUAACUUAAUUCCAGUGAUGAUGCAAUAAUGACCAAAGGUAUUUUUAUGUUCUAAAAUAAUUAUUUCCAAAUUUGAGAACUCCUCGGAAAAUAUAAAGAACAACUUUAGCUUACUGGC
rnacentral:lncRNA from 1 species